UACGUAUGUCGCAAGCGUUAUCCGGAAUUAUUGGGCUUAAAGGGCAUCUAGGCGGUUUUUCAAGUCAGGGGUGAAAACUUAUGGCUCAACUAUAAGCUUGCCUUUGAAACUGAAAAACUAGAGUACUGGAAAGGUGGGUGGAACUACACGAGUAGAGGUGAAAUUCGUAGAUAUGUGUAGGAAUGCCGAUGAUGAAGAUAACUCACUGGACAGAAACUGACGCUGAAGUGCGAAAGCUAGGGGAGCAAACAGG
rnacentral:rRNA from 1 species